CUCGCGUCGCGCGAGGGUUUACCAGCGUUUCACCGGUGGUGACGGGUGACGGGGACGGUCGACGGUCGGCGGUCGGCGGCGCGACGCGGCGCGGUGCGACACAAGUGCGCCGAAAGGUAUCGUCGAGAUGAGGUGCGCCCGCGUCGCGCCGCGCGCGCCUCGCGCACCGAAGCACUCUCCAACUCUGCCUAUCUGAUAUGGGAUCUGGAGGACGCGCUCCGCUUUCGGCUUAUUUGCCGAAAGUACGAUAUUCUGUAGUAUGUACACUGGAGUGAAGAGCUAAUGGUAUACCUUUAUUCUUCUACAAUCAGCUAUUACGUAAAAAUCACAUUUAAUCUUCCAGAGUUUACGUUGGGUCUAUAUGCACCAUUCAUCAUUAAUCUUGGAUAUUGUUAUUAAAAUAAACUUAAUUAGUGUCCAUUCUUA